rnacentral:piRNA from 1 species
GACUAGGGAACUUCAAAUCAGGAGAUGCU